rnacentral:rRNA from 1 species
CCCAGACUCCUACGGGAGGCAGCAGUGGGGAAUCUUCCGCAAUGGGCGAAAGCCUGACGGGGCAACACCGCGUGAUCGAAUGAAGGCCUUCGGGUUGUAAAGAUCUGUUGACAGGGACGAAUAAGCAAUGCGAAUAGUUUUGUGUAUGACGGUACCUGUUUAGAAAGCUCCGGCUAACUACGUGCCAGCAGCCGCGGUAAUACGUAGGUGGCAAGCGUUGUCCGGAUUUACUGGGCGUAAAGGGAGCGCAGACGGCAGUGCAAGUCUGGAGUGAAAGCCCGUGGCUUAACCACGGGACUGCUCUGGAAACUGUGCAGCUAGAGUGCAGGAGAGGCAGGCGGAAUUCCUAGUGUAGCGGUGAAAUGCGUAGAUAUUAGGAGGAACACCGGUGGCGAAGGCGGCCUGCUGGACUGUAACUGACGUUGAGGCUCGAAAGCGUGGGGAGCAAACAGGAUUAGAUACCCGCGUAA